CUUUUCUAUUUCAAUUUUAUCCCUUUUUGUUUUCUUUUUUCUUUCCCAUCAAAAUUAAUUGUUUUUCUCUUUUCCUGUGAUUAAUUGUUAGUUUCAUGUUACCAUCAUAAUGUCUAACAGGUAUCGGAACUCUCGAGCUAACAGGUGGGAGGAAAUUACUCACCAAGAACAGUUGAUUUUGGCAAAGAAACGAGAGAUUGAAGAGCGAUUAAAAUCAACCGAUGUUUCAUCUUGUAAUUCACCUUCUACGAUAACAUCGUCAUCAUCACUGCCACCGUCUUCGAAUUCAUCAUCAUCAUCUUCGUCUCAUUCUCAAAUCGAUCCAAUAACCACCACAACAGUAUCACCUUCAAUCUCAAUAGUUAAUGAUUCAAAUAACUCUGAUAUCGAUAACAGACCAGCAUUCAUUAAUAGAUUUUCAAAUGAUGGCAGUUUCAUGGAAAUGUUCAAAAAGAUGCAAAAUCCAAAUUCAUCUUCCAGCUCUCCGGUCAAGUUUGUUAAAAGUGAAGAGGAAGGACAAUUAACACCAGUAGACAAUGAACAGAGUUUAAAGCCCAAAUUGGAGGACAUUGAUGAGAGAGUUAAACUGCCUGUUAAUCAGGACCAUAAUCUUCAAGAGGAACAACAAUCAAAGAAAGUCUCUCCAUCAGGAGAUGAUGAGAUAAGAAUGGCGAUUGAAAAAAGUGCCAUCUAUGUCGCUAUGAAUGGUUCAGAAGCUGAAGCCAGAUUAAAAAGUGAUUGCAUCAAUGAUUCAGACUACAGAUGGUUAUACCAGGAAGAUAAUGUGAACCACCAGUAUUACAAGCGACGAGUAGAGGAGUUGAAGGAGGCCAAAACGAGAGCAGCCGAUUUUGAGUUAUCUGCAUCAUCGCCGUCAACUUCAACAACAACAACAACAAACAAUCCUGAAGAUACUUUAUCGUCACUUGCUGAUUAUCAUGAUUUAGAUGAACGUAAUCCGAUUGAUAUGAAAGGUAGAAAGAGGAAAGAAAGUCGUUGGUCGGAAUUUUCUUCAAAUCAAUCAGUGAACGAGGAUGAUGAUCAAGAAGCAUCAAGUUCAUCAAUUGUGCCUCCACAAGAUCCUGAAUUGAUUAAAUAUGCGAUCCAAGUGUUUGGAAGGUGUAAUUUAACUGCUGAACAGUGGAAACAAUUGGAAGAUCAAAGGAAGAUGAAAGUUCUGGUCGCCAUGGUACAGAGAAAGAAAGCCAAGAGAGCUAAAUUCGAGGCCAGUGGACGUCCGAUGUACGAAUAUGAUUCAGAUGAGGAGGUUGACGGUGGAACUUGGGAACAUAAGAAAAGAAUGGAGGAAAUGGAGAAAACAAGAGAAUGGGCCGAUAAAAUAACAGAAAUGAACAAAGGUAAACAUCAUAUUGGUGAUUUUCUACCACCUGAUCAAUUGGAACGGUUCAUGAAAAAAUGGGACUCGAUUAAAGAUGGAUCAACUUCAAUACUUUUCGAUGAAGAUUAUCAAGAUUUCAAGCUUCAAUCUCAGAAUAAAGGUUACAAAAUGCUGGAGAAAAUUGGUUGGAGCGAAGGUCAAGGGUUGGGGGUUGAUAGUAAAGGAACUACAAAGCCAGUUGAUGCCGAUGGAGCUUGGGGUGAACGUGCUGGUCUAGGACAAAAACGACCUGAUCAGCUUGAAGCUGAUGAUGAUGAAUACGAAGCCUACCGGAAACGGAUGAUGUUAGCCUACCGAUUCAGACCAAAUCCAUUGAAUAACCCACGAAGACCUUAUUACUAAAAUUAAUAAUAUAAUCUAUAAAAUUGAACAAUUUAAUUGGAUCGCAAAUAAAUUUGAUGGGCGAUAUUUAGACUUUAAUUAUCGAUAGAAUCGAUUUACUAGCGACAGAGAAAAAGACAGGAAAAGAAAGUGAAACAUUUCAAGUUGUCCAUUUCGAUAGUGACCUGCAUUCGAUUGACAAAAUCUUCUCUCUAUCUUUGGAUACACAAAAUUUAAAAUGGCCAUAACCAAAUAGCGAACAAAUUAGAUCUAUUUUUGGUUAUUUUACUCGCGAUUCAGAUGAGGAGCUAAAUCUUGUUCAAAUCAUGAAUGCUGUUCGUGGAAACACUGAAAUGUGAACAGAUGACCAGGUUCACUCCAUUUAUCGGCUGGUGAUAAAAAUAACUCGCCGUUUUAAUCUCAUGGAACCUCGGCCUAUCAGACUCUAUCAAAAAGAGCUAAUCUAGAAAUGGAUCUUUAUUUCAAUGAAAAACAAAGCGAAAAUUCAAAAUAAUGUUAAUAAACUAAUGAAUCCAUGGUGAUGAAUAUUGACCAAUUUAAUUUCAAUGGUGAAACCAAAAACUCCUGAAACUUUAUAUUAGUGUUGUGAUGGUUGAUGAUGAUCAAAUUUCAUUCUUUUGUUAACAUGAAAAUAUUACUUUUUGAUAUUAGGAUAUCACCAAACAUGAGUAACAACAUAAUAAAUCAAUGAAUAAAAGGAAAUCAUCGAUAAAGAUUA